rnacentral:tRNA from 4 species
GCCCCUCUAGCUCAGUUGGUUAGAGCAUCGGACUCUUAAUCCGCAGGUCCUCGGUUCGAAUCCGAGGGGGGGCACCA